rnacentral:rRNA from 1 species
UACGUAGGGUGCAAGCGUUGUCCGGAAUUAUUGGGCGUAAAGAGCUCGUAGGCGGUUUGUUGCGUCGGCUGUGAAAUCCCGAGGCUCAACCUCGGGUCUGCAGUCAUACGAGCAAACUAGAGUGUUGCAGGGGAGACUGGAAUUCCUGGUGUAGCGGUGAAAUGCGCAGAUAUCAGGAGGAACACCGGUGGCGAAGGCGGGUCUCUGGGCAA